UGCAAGUCAUAACCUUUUUCUUUAAUUAUUUCACCAAAGUAACCAACAAAAGAUUGUAAUUGAGUCUUCACUGUCUUCCACACUAUAAAGUUGUUGUAAACUUCUAGUCCACUGUCCAUAACAAAAAAAUUCCUAACGGACAGCACAUCAAGAAAACAUAGACCAACAACAAAGCAGAGAAUUACAUUGCAUGUAUAGCAGAUAAUUUUUCAACAUUAACAUUGGACAGUUUUCCGCAUGAACAAUCAAAACAUGCUCUAUAGCAACAAGAUAUGGCAUUUCCUUUAUUCCUUUUGAUGAAAAUUCAACAUCAAUUCCUAUAAAACAGUAGCUUACUAAACUUACUAAAAGAAGCCGAGGGCUACAUGAAAAUCCAGUGUCCCCUUGUCUGUCUGGAGAUCCUGAUUUAUUAUUAGUUUAUUAACCAAGAACUCCAAUAGGUUAAGUAGCUCAUUUCUCCUCAUUUGACCCAAAAAGCUUCAUCCUUGACAAUGGGGUCCUCAAAUAGCCCUCCACCUCAAACUUCUUCGGCGAAAGCUUCCUAUACUUGGCAAACUGUUCUCUUGCCUCCUCAUUCUUAUCAAGCAAGCUAUAUAUCAUUCCUCGACAAAAAUAUGGCCUGAAAUCAUUGGGAUCCUCUUUCGACAACUCUUGAUAACUCUUCAAUGCCUCCUCUACAUUCUUUUGCAAAAAUUGUAUCUGUGCCAUAAUGAACCUCACAUCUCUUGCUUCUUUUACUUUAUUCUCCUCUUUGGCGAUGUCUAGAGCCUCUUGUAGCCUCCUAAUAACCGCUUCUCCUUCUCCACAACGGUCCAUUAGGAGUGCGUUCUCGAAUAAUGCCUCGAAAGACAAUGGAUUCACAUGGAGAAUUUCUUCGAACAUCUUGCGCGCAUCCUGGGUUCGACCCAUUUCAUUAUACAACCUAGCGAUCAAGAACUUCCACUCUGUCACCGAUGGUUGUGCGUCUACUAGACGCUCUAGUACCUUCAGAGCCUCCUCGUCUUCCCCAUUUUCAAGCUUUUGCUGUAAAAGAGAUUUGAGAGAUUCAAUUGCUUCAGCACCAGACUCAAGCAAUUGAGAUAACGGUGUUACUUGGUCAGUUUGGUUCUGGUUUUGCUGUUUCUCUACCUUUUCUCGUUCUGCUUCUUCCUCUUCAUCAAGGGUUGGCCUAUUUUCUGUAAGAGUUGGUGACGUUUCAGCUCUCGCCGGCAAAACUGAGAAUCUGGCGGCCACUGAAACGGUGAAACCAAUUAGAAUAGCAGCUUUAGUGAGGCUUUUGAGAACGGAGGGUCUGUGGGUAUGAUCUGAUGAUGCCCUGACUGUUCUAAGGGAAGAGAUAGAUGAGAAAUUGGUAUUAGGUUUAUGAGAUUUGAGGGAGAUGAAAUGGGAAAGAGAAGAAGGGUUCAUGGAAGUAGUUUUGAGAUGGAGGAAAGAAGUAGCUAGCGUGGAGUUCAUGGUAGGAGCAAUGGAGAGGAUUUGUGUUGAGGGGUUUAGGGUUUCUGAUAGGGGGGAGAGAGCGAGAGAGAGAGAUGGUCAGAAGGCGAUCUGACUUUUCAUUGAAUUCAUCGCUCAAGACAUGGAUUCAUUCAACUUCACAAUUUUAAUUUAUUUUUUUAUUUCUCACAAUAUGAAAAUACAUUACACCAAACCUUCAAAAACAAAGCUUUGCAUUUGUCCAAAA
rnacentral:misc_RNA from 1 species